ACUCAAAUGAAUUGACGGGGGCCCGCACAAGCGGCGGAGCAUGUGGAUUAAUUCGAUGCAACGCGAAGAACCUUACCUGGGCUUGACAUGCACUGGAAACCAGUAGAGAUAUUGGCCCCCUUGUGGCCGGUGUACAGGUGGUGCAUGGCUGUCGUCAGCUCGUGUCGUGAGAUGUUGGGUUAAGUCCCGCAACGAGCGCAACCCUCGUUCCAUGUUGCCAGCGCGUAAUGGCGGGGACUCAUGGGAGACUGCCGGGGUCAACUCGGAGGAAGGUGGGGAUGACGUCAAGUCAUCAUGCCCCUUAUGUCCAGGGCUUCACACAUGCUACAAUGGCCGGUACAAAGGGCUGCUAAGCCGUGAGGUGGAGCGAAUCCCAUAAAGCCGGUCUCAGUUCGGAUCGGGGUCUGCAACUCGACCCCGUGAAGUCGGAGUCGCUAGUAAUCGCAGAUCAGCAACGCUGCGGUGAAUACGUUCCCGGGCCUUGUACACACCGCCCGU
rnacentral:rRNA from 1 species